GACGAACGCUGGCGGCAGGCUUAACACAUGCAAGUCGAGCGAGCGGCGGACGGGUGAGUAAUGUCUGGGAAACUGCCUGAUGGAGGGGGAUAACUACUGGAAACGGUCGCUAAUACCGCAUACCAUCAGAUGUGCCCAGAUGGGAUUAGCUAGUAGGUGGGGUAAUGGCUCACCUAGGCGACGAUCCCUAGCUGGUCUGAGAGGAUGACCGGCCAAACUGGAACGGAGAACCGGCCCAGACUCCUACGGUAGGCAGCAGGGGGGAAUAUUGCACAAUGGGCGAAAGCCUGAUGCAGCCAGGCCGCGUGUGUGAAGAAGGCCUUCGGGUUGUAAAGCACUUUCAGCGAGGAGGCGUUACUCGCAGAAGAAGCACCGGCUAACUCCGUGCCAGCAGCCGCGGUAAUUC
rnacentral:rRNA from 1 species